UCUUGUGUGUGUGUGCGAGUGGUUGCUGUUUACGAUGUGUUCAUAUAUCGCUUUGUAGUGCUGUAAUGUGCAAAUUAGCGGACUUUAUAGCGGCUCUCUAUUUUCCGUCGUUGUCUUUCGAGCAGCGCCUGUUGUUCCGGUAAAAAUCGAGUUGAAUGAAUCGCCACAGCCCCAACGUAUAUCGCGCAGUGUUGACCAAGACCAAGUCAAGCAGGAAUUCUGGCAUGGUAUGUGGCUGCACGAAGGAUUCCGGAAAAGAAAAACAACAACAUGGCUAAUAGGAUGUUGCUGCCCAGGGAGUCCUGGCGAAGAGGUUUACUCAUUCCAGAAGCAAGAAUUGUAUCAUUGUAAGGCGAAUGGAAAUAAACUGACAUCGACUGAGA